rnacentral:rRNA from 1 species
GAUGAACGCUAGCGGCAGGCCUAAUACAUGCAAGUCGAACGGUCCACUUCGGUGGAUAGUGGCGCACGGGUGCGUAACACGUAUGCAACCUACCUUACAUUGGGGGAUAGCCUUUCGAAAGGGAGAUUAAUACCGCAUAAGACAGUAACAUGGCAUCAUGUAGCUGUUAAAGAUUUAUCGAUGUAAGCUGGGCAUGCGUCCAAUUAGUUAGUUGGUGAGGUAACGGCUCACCAAGACGAUGAUUGGUAGGGGAACUGAGAGGUCAAUCCCCCACACUGGCACUGGGAGACGGGCCAGGCUCCUGCGGGAGGCAGCAGUAGGGAAUAUUGGGCAAUGGACGCAAGUCUGACCCAGCCAUGCCGCGUGCAGGAAGAAGGCGUUCUGCGUUGUAAACUGCUUUUAUAUAGGAAGAAACGACCCUUGCGAGGGGCAUUGACGGUAUUAUAUGAAUAAGCACCGGCUAACUCCGUGCCAGCAGCCGCAGUAACAC